AUUGAACGCUGGCGGCAGGCCUAACACAUGCAAGUCGAACGAGUGGCGGACGGGUGAGUAAUGUCUGGGCAACUUCCUGAUGGAGGGGGAUAACUACUGGAAACGGUAGCUAAUUCCGCCUACCAUCGUAUUUGCCCAGAUGGGAUUAGCUAGUAGGUGGGGUAAAGGCUCACCUAGGCGACGAUACCUAGCUGGUCUGAGAGGAUGACGAGCCAAACUGGAACUGGGACACGUUCCAGACUCCUACGGGAGGAAGAAGUGGGGAAUAUUGCACAAGGGGCGAAGGCCGGAUGAAGCCAGGCCGCGUGGAUGAAGAAGGCCUUCGGGUGGUAAAGUACUUUAAGCGGGGAGGCGUUACCCGAAGAAGAAGCAACGGCUAACUCCGUGCCAGCAGCCGCGGUAAUUC
rnacentral:rRNA from 1 species